ACUAACAAAUAUAUAUUUAAAAAGUAACAUAAAAUAAAUUAUUCCCGCCGUGUCUACUUUAAUCGUAAUCUUUGAGAGUGCUAAACGAAUGUAAAUCAAGCUUUCACUAAUGCAUAGACAGUCAAAUUAUGCAUAAGCGUUGCGGCUUUUACACCACUAUGAAACGUGUACAUCGCGUGGAAGAUUUGUUUGCGAUGGUCAUUAUACUGGGCCUCUUGAGGCAGUUGGAAGGCACUAACAGUUUCCCGAUCGAGCGGAACGUGAGGCCCACCCAGCGCCACCCCCCGGGCCACUCGGUGAUAUACGUGAAACAAGUGAAAGCGAAACUAUGACACCGCUGCACCAGAUGCCCCAAUAAAUUGUAUUAUACAUUGA